AUGAUGCUGAUGAAAUGUGUGUUUGUGCAGGUGUGUGUGAGCGUCCUCUCUCGUGCUCUGUCCUCCUGUCCGCUGCUCUUCUCUCGCUCUCUUCCUCUCUCCGUCCUGAGCUUCAUCUUCCUGUAUCCCGAGCUCUCGGAGCGCUUCGGAGCGCCGGCUCUGACGGGACGUCUGUCAGAGGAGACUCAGGAGCAGGAGCUGCUGGAGCUGAUCAACACACACCCUGCAGCGCUGCUGGCCACACUGGCCGUGGCGUGUGACGGCGAGUCUGCAGCGUCUCGUUCAGCCGUCGCUGUGCUGCAGUGUUUCCUGCGAUCGUCCGACAGCCUCAGCUUCAGCGGGACGUCUGAUCUCUGUGAUCAGAUCCGAUCGGUGCUGCUCGGCGUCCUGCAGAGACACACACACACAGACGGUCUGUCUGUGCUGCUGGACGUGUCGUCUGUGAUUCACUCGUCCGCUCAGAGAGAGCACACUGACUCCAGACUCCUGUACCACGGUGAGAAAACACACACACACACACACACACACACACACAGAGAGAGAAACACACACUCAGAGAGAGAGAGAGAGACACACACACACACACACCCACCCUCAGAGAGAGAGAUUUUUUUUGAUUUUCACAAUCGAUUUAUUAUAAAAUUUUUAAUAUAA
rnacentral:lncRNA from 1 species